rnacentral:rRNA from 1 species
CCUACGGGAGGCAGCAGUGAGGAAUAUUGGUCAAUGGACGCAAGUCUGAACCAGCCAUGCCGCGUGCAGGAAGACGGCGCGAUGAGGUGUAAACUGCGUUUGUACGAGGGUAAACGCAGAUACGCGGAUCUGUCUGAAAGUAUCGUACGAAUAAGGAUCGGCUAACUCCGUGCCAGCAGCCGCGGUAAUACGGAGGAUUCAAGCGUUAUCCGGAUUUAUGGGGUUUAAAGGGUGCGUAGGCGGUCGGAUAAGUUAGAGGUGACAUCCCGAGGCUCAACUUCGGAAUUGCCUCUGAUACUGUUCGGCUAGCGCGUAGUUGCGGUAGGCGGAAUGUCUGUUGUAGCGGU